CCUGCAUUUGGAUUGAAUUUAUAUCCAAUAACAAUAAUUUCUGGAAGUGUUAGAGGACAACAGAGGAAUAAAGGAAGAGAGCAAACCUUCAGAGUCACUUUGUCAAGAAGACAACAAAAUUCUCUGUCAUCAACAUGAUGUUACUGGAAGGUGUUUUGCAGAAGUAGAACUGAACCAACACUGAUUCCGAGCACCUUGAAAGGCAAAACAGAGUGAAGAAGUGGAGAGAUGCUGAACUGCUGCAUUACCAGAUUAUUCCAAGUCAUACCUGAUCCUGGCCAUGCUGAGAGCCUAUGGUCUGUAUCAAGCUACUGCAGCUCCAGUGCCAUCGUGGACUGGUGAAUGCCCUCAUCAGUAGCAUCGGGAUCCUGCAAACCAAAAGAGGAGUAGGUGCAUCCCACAGGAGGAAUCUUUUCCAAGGGGAAGUGCA